GUCCUUUAGAUUAAUAAUUUAAGGUCUGACCUGCCCACUGAAAAAUUUGAAUGGCCUCAGUAAUUUGACUGUGCGAAGGUAGCAUAAUCAUUGGUUUUUUAAUUAAAAGCUUGUAUGAAUGGUUGGACGAGAUAAAAUCUGUCUUUGAGUAAAUUUUAGAAUUUAAUUUUUAAGUUAAAAAGCUUAAAUUUUUAUAAAAGACGAGAAGACCCUAUAGAUCUUUAUAGUAUUAUAUUUAUUUUUAAUUAAGAUUAUUUUAUUAUUUAAAUUUAAUAUUAUUUUAUUGGGGUAAUAUGAAGAUUAAUUUAAUUCUUUAUUAUAUUUUUUCAAUAAUUUUUGUUUAUUUGAUCCUUAAUUUAAGAUUAAAAGAUUAAGUUACCUUAGGGAUAACAGCGUAAUUUUUUUAAAGAGUUCAUAUCGAUAAAAAAGUUUGCGACCUCGAUGUUGGAUUAAAAAUAAUUCUAGGUGUAGAAGUUUAGAUUAUUGUCUGUUCGACCAUUAUAUUUUUACA
rnacentral:rRNA from 1 species